GGUCAUCCUCACUGGGCAGGAGGUGCAGCUGGACCACACUGAACAUCCCGUAGCUGUCCUGGACAAGCACACACAACCUGGGAAAAGUCCUCUCAGUGAACCACACCAUACAGCAGUAGGACAGAAGGCUCUCCAGUGCUGACUAACAGAAGUCGGUCAGCAUGUGAUAAAGGAGACCUGACCAAGCCUGGUAUUUCCUGCUGGAGGUGUUCAUAUUUCACUGAGGAUCCAAAUGAUUUCAUCAAUCAAAAAAAAAAAAAAAAAAAAAAAAAAUGGAGGGGGAUUAUUUUCUUAAAGGACAGAAAUUGCAGUUUUCUAGACCAGGAGUAAAUAAAGUUCACAUUGAAGAUCUUUUAGUUCAUUAAUACACAUUUCUAAUGUUCUAUUCAGUAUUACAGCAUAUUUGCUACUGAUAAAUACUCAAUAGAACAUUAGACAUUAGAAAUGCUAAUCACAGCUAGGGAACAUGUGAGGCCAGUGUAAUGUUGUGAUUAAUAUGUACUCACUAAUAGUUUUGGAGAUCUAUAGCACAGUUUUUAAUAUUUUAAUUUUUAAAAAAGAAAGAAAUUAAUAAUUUAAAACCACAGUUACUAACGGCACAAAGCGUGGGUGAUUAAAAAAAAAAGCUGCAGUUUAUCAAAACAAGCCAGACAUCAACAAAUCAACAUCUGACCUUUCCUAAAAUAUAAAUACAGCUGGUAGAGUCUUGCUUGGUGUAAAUACACUUUUACUUUUCGUGGAGCAUGUUCAGUCUUGAAGCAUGAAACUUGAUAGGACACCUGACAGACUGGAGAGAAAAGGGUGACGGGACUUGUUGUGGUGCUGGCUUGUCAUAAACAACCCCCUUCCCCCUCUGUCAGUCCUUUUAGCCGUUCAAAGACCUACUUCCUCACUCCCCUCACUCCCACAAAAAAAAAAAAAAAAAGAAAAAAAAAGAAGAAGAAAAAAUAUCCUCAGUCACUGGCCAGUUUUAGUCACAGGCCAUUUUCAGGAAUUUGUUUUUGUGAGUGAUCACAGAAUUCUCAGCAACUCAGGUUUUCUUCCAGGAAGUGCAAUCCACUGGGUCUGUGCUUACACACAUAUAAACUCUUUCAGUCACACUGCGAACGAAUGGAAGACAGCGCACAUUCACAUUACUUGGAAAAACACCAAGUAAAAGUCCCACACAUUAAGAAUACAGCAGAGAGGCCUCAUUGGCGGGGGGCGGACAGGCGGGAUUCCUUCCUAUGCGCUGUCCACCAAUCACUGCAGGCAGCGUGAUAAACACGUUUGUAACAGGAUCCCUGCAGCACAUUGUGUUCCUGCUCAACUAAGAAAAAAAGAAGGAAAAAAAAAGAAAAAGAAAAAACAACCAGUCUCUCUUCACUUCCUGCAAACAGUUAAUCUCCUUGUUUAUUCCAUCCCAAAUUUACGGGAACUUAACAUCUUCUUCAGGCAUAAAUAUCAUACUGGCCUGUCUCCCUCGUGUUUUAACACAGUGGCUAAACAACAAAAGGAUCAAAUAAGCGCGCUGACCAGGCGAGUGAGUCAUAGAGGCCGGGGACACAACAUGAGAGGUACAAACUGUCCUCAUGUUUACACAGAAUGAGCCCAGUGGGCUGCGAAGUAAACUACACUGCUCUCCGCAAAGCAGCCAUGUAUUCUGGAGAAGUAACACAAGCAACAGAUUGUAGCACAUGAUGUCAUUUCUGAGCAGCAAUGCAAAGCAAAGACUCUCAUAAAAACACAUACAAGUGAUCAAAGUGAUGCAAAGCUUGCCCAUGUUAUCAAAAAUAAAUAAAUAGUAAUAAUAACAAUAAAUUAAAUUCAGGAAUGGCUGGGCAACAAAAUAAACUUUGUGUACCAUGUUCACAUCUGUCACAAUAAAGGCGGCUGAGUCAUCCUGAUAUUCUAAACUUAAACCCUUGUGAUCGACUGCUAACCUCGGCCCCACCUUCAUCCUUUCACUACAAACCCGAGGCUGCUGAAUCUGGUCGAGCCAGAGAGAAACUGAGGAAAGGGUAAGAGUGUUUCCGGUCAGAGGGCAGCUCAUUUGUUUACCAGCCACAGAAGCAGCAUGGCAGGAGUGUCAUGUUACAACCGCAGCUCAUGUAGUCAGUUAGCCUGUCAGCUGACCGGGGGUCUCCUCCCCUUACCGCCGAUGGUCCCUCGGGUCCCUCCGCUUGGAGAAACCGCUGCUUUUAUUACUCAGCAAAAGGACAAAAACAACACGCCUGGGGAAGGCCAAGGCAACUAAAGGUCAUACUUACUGGAUUUGCUUCAAAUGUAGCACUUACUGAUUUGUUAACUACUACAAGAUCACACAAACAAAUCAUUUCAGUAAGACUGGAAGAUUUUUGAUAAUUUAGCAUAUAUGAAACAACAAAAAACAAAUCUUCUUGUAUCUGCAGUGGAAACAAACCUGCAUUUUAUGUGUGGCAAAUCCACAGAUUCAUUACUCAUCCCUGGUAGUUAACCACAGCUCUACUGAGCAUUCGAGCAUGUUUCAUUUCAUUGCAACUUCACUGUUUUGGUUCAGUCUCGGCGCUCUCAUCUGCGUCAUUUGCUGCCGCACUCGUAUGCAGCGCUACAUACAAAGCAGGACAUUUGGUAACUGAGGAGACAAAUAUUUACCUCAGGCAUUGUUGGAAACAAAAACAAAGCUUGAAGGAUUUUUAUUUUUAAUUUUUUUUAUUUUAUGGGUGGCUUCAAACACGUCUACAAAGAAAAGCUAGUAGACGUGAGACUCAGAGCGGCUACCACUUGGUCAUGGCUGAAGGAGAGACCUGUACCUCGCUCACAUGACGUACUGGUGAUGCUCAGCAAAGUGGAAAUGAACAAUUUGGUGAAUGAAUCAGAAUCAAACGGGAAAGAAAAGCUACUUCCCAUCCUUAGUGGACAAGUGUUAUGCUCCCAUAAUCCUGUUUACACCAAAUAAACUUUAAUGAGCAAAUGACUCAGUCUACGGAAAGAUGAUCCAUACUGUCAGAGGAUCAUAAACAUGUAAAAAGUCUCGAGCCAGACCAUGAAAUACUUACAAAACGUAAUCAGAUUUAUGUUCCUGGAACUUGAUUUCUCCCUUUCUUCAUUUACUAUUUUAUUGUUGGUGUCAUAGCUAAUCAUUCACAUCCAGCUACACAAAGUGAUGCUGUUCCAGGUCUAAAAGGACAAAAUAUGUCCAUAUUUUUGGAGCCUGGUCGGGGUGACGUAAGUAAUUACUCCUCUCAUACCAGAGACCGCAGCUCACCUCCCACACAGAACGGAUCAUUUUUAUACUUUCUUUGGAAUUACUUUAACACUUCAGUUGCUUUUUUUUUUCUCAAAUUCUUUCUUUGAUUGAGUUUAGACAAUCAAACUACUUGAUUAGGUUAGAAAAGGCUAAUGAUUACAUUGAACACAAGAACACAAAGCUGAAACUUCAUCAACAAGUGCCCUUGGUAUAUUACAGUACAAACUCAAUACAGACUUUUCAAAUUAAAAGCAGUCCAGUUAAUUGGCUUUUAUCGUGAAAUAUUUGUAGUCAUAUCUUAAGAGUGUGAAAAAAACCCCAAAACCGAGCGAGUCUCUGAAUGUAAAAAUCUGUUCGAUUUAUGUAAAAGUGUAACUAACUGGUUAUUAGCCAGCAAAAUAGUUGUCUACAAUGUCAUAGGUGUGUGACCCUGCAGAGCCCCGGAGGGCAAACCGCCAUUCAAAUACACUUCACAGUAGAAGAGCCCAAGGUUGUCAGUUUCCCAUCGUUUUCACAGAUCACAAAUAUUAGAAUAACAACUCGGAAGUGGAAAUACAAAGACAUGUGAACAAACUGUAAGUUCUGGGCCCUUACGAACCACAUACAACCCUUCUGUAGCAUUACAAUGACUAAAAACAGCAAAUAUCUGCCAGAGAAACAGUUUCACAAUGAUUAAGAUAUAUCCUGUAAAUGAUAUACCUACAAAAAAAAGUAAGGACAGCUAUAUGCAUUUUCAGGUAGGAUGGGUCAGUAACGCUGCCAUUUGGGAGUGAAUUACAAGGGAGAAGAAAUUCCUCACCUGAGCCAAUUAGGUGCAUUAUUUAUUUAUUUUUCUGGCAGUUUUAGGGCUCAGUCUUAUUUAUCACUGAGGGCAGACAGGACCUGGAGCUUGGCAGCCGGAUUACAGUUGUACUAGUCUGUCAUUGUGAUGAAGGAAAGUCUAUCCAGAGGCUUACUCUUACCCACAGCCAUGAGCUUGUGACUAAAGGGAUCACACACAGGACUCAGGCCUGAUUUAGACAGUGAGGAAUCUUUGUAGAGCCUACGGCAUAACAUGCACAAUUUGCCAACAUCUUUGUCGGCAUUGACGCUUGUGCAUUAUGGGUUAUUUACUAUGUGGUGGUGUCCCGAUGACUUAGAAACAAAUAAAAUGCUGGAACUUUUUCCAUCCUGGGUACCCAUUCUUUGUUAGGGUUAUUUGUUUGUGGGGCGGAGCUAAAGUUUUUUUAGUGAUUUGUAGCUUGCCUCACGUCCAAUGUGAUAUUCGCUCCAGGAAUUUGCUGACAUUUGUGAGUCCUAAAAUUGAUGCUAUAAUUAUGAUUCCUUAUUAUUAAGGCCAUGAUUGUUAUUUUGUCACUGAUAAAUUUAAAAACUGUGUUGACAGAGGAGCCUGAAAUAUACAGGACAAGAGGAAUCAAUGAUACUAAUGGGGCCCAUCACAACAGUCGCGGGCAGCAUCGAUCAAUGUGUAAUUACAUUUCUUGGGUGCAGGACGUCAGAGAAACAUGGGUUUGUGGGGUUUGUGGUUGCAACAUAAUAGGACAUAGAUUUCCUUCUGAAGGAAAAAUCCCCAGUCAGAAAAGGAAUCCCUGCACCUUUCUGGUGAAAAAAAGCCAGAAAACGUGGUGCAGGUAUCUGACCAGGUUGUUGCCUGAAUGCCUCCCUAGGGGGAAACAUGGCAAACUGGGUUAUACUGUGCAACUCUUCUGGCCAAUGAAUGCUAGAGGAAACAUCUGAGACCGGGAUACUGGCUAUUUUACUGAAACGGCAGAGUCCAUAAGCAGAUUCUGAAUGACUGACAGACGACACACGGUGUAACAGUUAAUGUUUUUUCUUUAUAAAAUACAAAUCGAUAAAAUGAUUCUUAAAUUAUUUGCUGAUUAAAUGAAGCAAAACCAAAUCGGCCUCAUUUGCAUUUUCUGCAGUACCAAGAGGAAUUAUGUUUUAACAUGUGAAGGAAACACACUCUGGUUUCCCCUUAUUAAGGUAAGAAAAAAAACUGCUACAAAGCUGCUCCACCCAGAGGAGUGCGAAUGGGCAACAAUUCAACUCAGACUUGCUGGUGCACGAGAGUCUGAAAACAUCAUGCUGUCUUUCCUGAGAAUUGGCCAGAACCAUUCACAGAGGGGCUGGAUUCAAUUAGAAAUGUUUGUGUCCUUUGUCAAGCAAUGCCAUAUGGCUGGAGACAGCGUGAGCACUUUGUGGGGCCUGCUGUGCUGUGAACAAUAGCUCGACCGCUGAGACACAUCGUGCCACCGAGGAGAAGCAUGCAAAGCCCGAGAGCAAAGAAACUAGCAUGAAAUUUGAACAAAAAGAAUAAUCUCAAUUGUGGCAGAGCUCUCACAGCAGAUAAAAUACGAUUCAUUUUUCCCAGCUGUUUCUGGCUUCAAGUGACAAACCAAAAGGCCUCCCUGGGAUCCCAAUUAUGA